GACCACUGAGGAACGGCAGGGAAGACAGCAACCUCCAAAUUGAGUUUUACAUACUAGUUUCUGCAACAAAUUUUAAGGACUAAGAACAAAUGAGCUGCUUUCCAGUAAGAUGGUAGUCGUUUUUUUAAAAAAGAAUCCUUGCAGUCUCCAGCAAAUGUACCAUGGUGGAGAUGGGAUCACCUUUUCUGAAAGCCAUACUUCUUUCGCUCAUAGAAGAAAUCUGUUUUUGAGCUGCCCAGAUUGACGAUCUUGGGACAGCCAUCUCGAUUUUUCACAUGGUCGUCCAAUAGCCACACCCGCCUGCUUGUGGCAGAAGAUCAAAUCCGGGUGGUUGUUGGCCAUCCCUGAAACCCUUCGCCUCGCCCUGGUGUUUCUCUUUAGACAGCUUUCUGGGUCAAGAACUGGAGGAGGGAGAAGAGCUGGCAGGCGGUGGUGAUACCAGUUUGGCAUUGACUCUCAUCAGAGCCUUUCAGUGCUGGUUCCCUGGUUGCAGAAUGCCCUCCUUUCUGAGAUAUAUGCAUAACCAAGAAGAGAGAAGAAUGAAACAUGUAGAGGUGGAAACGCCAUCUCUUGUAUAACAUCCAGUUCAGCCUUUGACCAGCUUCUAAAUAAAGCCAAAUGACUAGUACUAGAAAUGUUGUUGAUACCCAGUGUUGGACAUCAAAAAGACAUGAGGGUGGAGAUGGAAUACAUCUGGAGCUUGUGCAUGAUUCCUGGACGGACAUAUGUGAGUAAUGUCUUUCCACAUCUGUUCCUCAGCAAAUAAAAUGCUAGAGAGCAUGGAAACGCUGUCAGCCCUUUAAAAAUUCAUGGGUCUAUUUUCUGUCUGGAAGAGGAUGCAGUUCACACAAUUGCAGGCUUAGUAUUUCUGUGCCAGUUCGUUUAUAUUUGCUUGUGUUUCAUAGAUGCAUUUUUUAAUAGUUACUGACACUCUGUGCAUCUAUUUAAUAAUGCAUUUACAACUA